rnacentral:misc_RNA from 1 species
AAGGAUCAUUACGAAUAUCGGGGACUGGCUUAGCACAAGGCUUCUUGCACUGUUCUAUACUGGUCCUGUCUGAAUAUUGCCCUGUUUUUUGCGUACUCACUUGUUUCCUCGGCAGGCUUGCCUGUCAGUAGGACCUUUUACACUCUUUGAAAUAGCAGUUAGCAUCAGAAAACUAUAAUAGUUACAACUUUCAACAACGGAUCUCUUGGUUCUG